rnacentral:misc_RNA from 1 species
GAUGAAGAACGCAGCGAAAUGCGAUAAGUAAUGUGAAUUGCAGAAUUCAGUGAAUCAUCGAAUCUUUGAACGCACCUUGCGCCCUUUGGCCAUUCCGAAGGGCAUGCCUGUUUGAGUAUCAUGAACACCUCAACUCUUUAUGGUUUUCCAUGAUGAGCUUGGACUUUGGGGGUUUUGCUGGCCUAUGGUCGGCUCCUCUAAAAUAAAUCAGCUUACCGGUGUUUGGUGGGUAUCAUGGGUGUGAUAACUAUCUACGCUUGUGGUUUUUCCACCAGGUAACCUUCGACAGCGGAGGUUCACUGGAGCUCAUAGAUGUCUCUCCUCAGCGAGGACAGCCCUUUGAAUGUUUGAUCUCAGAUCAGGUAGGACUACCCGCUGAACUUAAGCAUAUCAAUAAGCGGAGGA